GGAAUUGACGGGGCCGUACAAGCGGAGGAACAUGUGGUUUAAUUCGAUGAUACGCGAGGAACCUUACCUGGGCUUAAAUGUAGAGUGCAUGGGGUAGAAAUAUCCCUUUCCUUCGGGACUCUUUGCAAGGUGCUGCAUGGUUGUCGUCAGCUCGUGCCGUGAGGUGUCGGGUUAAGUCCCAUAACGAGCGCAACCCUUAUCGUUAGUUGCCAGCGGGUCAUGCCGGGAACUCUAACGAAACUGCCGGUGUAAACCGAGAGGAAGGUGGGGAUGACGUCAAAUCAGCACGGCCCUUAUGUCCAGGGCUACACACGUGUUACAAUGGCCGGUACAGAGGGCAGCUACCUGGAGACAGGAUGCGAAUCUCGAAAGCCGGUCUCAGUUCGGAUUGCAGGCUGCAAUUCGCCUGCAUGAAGUCGGAAUCGCUAGUAAUCGCAGGUCAGCAUACUGCGGUGAAUACGUUCCCGGGCCUU
rnacentral:rRNA from 1 species